GACAGAGGCCUCGAGCGUUAGGCGGAAUCACUGGGCUUAAAGCGUGUGUAGGCGGGUCCGUAAGUGUCUUGUGAAAUCCCACGGCUCAACCGUGGAACUGCUGGGCAUACUGCGGGUCUUGGGCCAACUAGGGGCAGCCGGAACAAGCGGUGGAGCGGUGAAAUGCGUAGAUAUCGCUUGGAACGCCGAAGGUGAAAACAGGCUGCUGGGGUUGCGCCGACGCUGAGACACGAAAGCCAGGGGAGCGAACGGG
rnacentral:rRNA from 1 species